rnacentral:tRNA from 1 species
CAAACCGGGUUACACUGAUACCGACUAGCUAGCCUACCACUCAAAAUCAACCAAUCAUCAUACAUAACCCCUAAC